rnacentral:rRNA from 1 species
AUGCCUACGAUCACACCGUCGCCACCUAAAAGGUAUGCGCCCUCGCCCCCUUUUAUUCUCUUGCCCUUUCCGCCUUGCUGGGAGAAGAUGUAUGUGUGUUCUGUUUUAGACAAUGGUGUUCAUGUAAGCGUGUUCACGUCAUGUUCCGUUCUGCAAUGCACAAGUACUAUGUUCUCUUUUAUUUCUGGAAUCGUGUCUAUUCGCACAAGUACUAUGCACACAGCAACACAUGGUCUAUACUGCUGCAAAUUGUUCUGCGUUAGCUUUGAAUCUGUUAGUGAAGUUGUUAUUGUAUGGUAA